GACGAACGCUGGCGGCGUGCUUAACACAUGCAAGUCGAACGGAAAGGCCCCUUCGGGGGUCCUCGAGUGGCGAACGGGUGAGUAACACGUGAGUAACCUGCCCUUGACUUCUGGAUAACUUCAGGAAACUGGGGCUAAUACCGGAUAGGAAUCCUUGCUGCAUGGUGGGGGUUGGAAAGCUUCGGCGGUUUUGGAUGGACUCGCGGCUUAUCAGCUUGUUGGUGGGGUAGUGGCUUACCAAGGCUUUGACGGGUAGCCGGCCUGAGAGGGCGACCGGCCACAUUGGGACUGAGAUACGGCCCAGACGCCUACGGGAGGAAGCAGGGGGGAAUAUUGCACAAUGGGCGGAAGCCUGAUGCAGCAACGCCGCGUGCGGGAUGACGGCCUUCGGGUUGUAAACCGCUUUCAGCAGGGGCGAAGCUUGUGGUGACGGUACCUGAAGAAGAAGCACCGGCUAACUACGUG
rnacentral:rRNA from 1 species